GUUCGGUCUUCUCAUCACCAGUAGUUGUCUUGGGAUUCAUGGAAGGCCUUUGAAUAAACGUCCUGCCAUUCUGAAUCCUGAAAGCUGUACGAUCUUUACAAAGGAAGGCGGAAAUUUUACGAUAAACUGCACCGCACAGAGCACGUGGCGUGACUUUAAUCUGGUUUACUGGCUGGCUAAUAACAACUUCAUCGAGAACGAAUUCCCUGAUGGGAGGGUGUCCGAGGGGC